UGCUUUAAGUUAUAAAGUUGUAAACCUGAAGUGCUACACGAUGUAGAAACAUUGUAACAACUUUGGUCUGGGUUGCCCUUGGUUGUAUUCCUAUUGACACAUGGGAUACCACAACUGUGGUAGAAGCUUAUUUGAGCUCCCAGGAGGUGGCCUUAAACCAAGGAAAAGGAGCAGAAAGGUGGUAUGGUGAAUCAUGUAAUAAUGGCUUUUCAAUAUCAAAGCCUUGAGUUCAAAUCCUGAAGCAGACAAUAAAUAUGAGACCCUGCUCAAAUCACUUACCUCUUCUCAGCCUCAGUUUUCUGAUUUUUUUGCAAUGUGGACAAUAAUAGCCUGCCUUUUAGAAAGAUGAU